UACGUAGGCAGCGAGCGUUGUUCGGAAUUACUGGGCGUAAAGCGUGCGCAGGCGGUUUGCUAAGACAGGUGUGAAAUCCCCGGGCUUAACCUGGGAACUGCGCUUGUUACUGGCAGGCUUGAGUGUGGCAGAGGGGGGUGGAAUUCCACGUGUAGCAGUGAAAUGCGUAGAGAUGUGGAGGAACACCGAUGGCGAAGGCAGCCCCCUGGGCUAACACUGACGCUCAUGCACGAAAGCGUGGGGAGCAAACAGG
rnacentral:rRNA from 1 species